CCUACGGGUGGCAGCAGUGGGGAAUAUUGGACAAUGGGGGGAACCCUGAUCCAGCCAUGCCGCGUGUGUGAAGAAGGCCCUCGGGUUGUAAAGCACUUUCAGUGAGGAAGAACGCCUGGUGGUUAAUACCCAUCAGGAAAGACAUCACUCACAGAAGAAGCACCGGCUAACUCCGUGCCAGUAGCCGCGGUAAUACGGAGGGUGCGAGCGUUAAUCGGAAUUACUGGGCGUAAAGCGCGCGUAGGUGGCUUGAUAAGCCGGUUGUGAAAGCCCCGGGCUCAACCUGGGAACGGCAUCCGGAACUGUCAAGCUAGAGUGCAGGAGAGGAAGGUAGAAUUCCCGGUGUAGCGGUGAAAUGCGUAGAGAUCGGGAGGAAUACCAGUGGCGAAGGCGGCCUUCUGGACUGACACUGACACUGAGGUGCGAAAGCGUGGGUAGCAAACAGGAUUAGAUACCCCGGUAGUC
rnacentral:rRNA from 1 species